UGUCGACCGACGAGUCAGUUUAACGUCGAAGAGUGUCUGGGUGGAGCGAGAGGAGUCGCCCCCGAGCCGCUUCCGCGUUGUCUCGUAUUUUUAAUGGACAAGGAUGGAGGCUCCAGAUGGUCGAGUACCGGCAGCAGAAGGGGGACCCUCGGGGGGCACAAAGGCCUGACAGCGGGGAGCCAAAUAUGACCUGAGUCAGACAGCUCUUUAGCACAAAAUUAGCCUGGGAUGAACGCGUAACACAAUUACAUGCUGUUAAUACCAUCAAAGAGGCAUUUGUGGCGCCUGUUGUGGCCUUUGCAGCUUAACUGGCCUAAUUUGGAAAAAAUGUCACAGUCCUUUCAGAAAAGGUGACGGUUAAACAUUUCUCAGAGGUCAAGCUGCUGUAACUUUUUCUCCAUGAUUAUUGCCUACAUCAAACAAUUCUGCACAAAACAGCUACGAGGAUAUAGUCUGUAUAUCCUCCAGUACGACUUCCAGGAGCAAAAGAUGGACAUUGAAACGUCUGCAGUGAAUGUUAGCGUCUCAGAUCAUGUCGGAGGCUGCAGUUUCACUGACACACUAAUGUUCAUCUUCUCCGUGGUUGGGUGUGGACGUUGAGCCUUAAACUGCAGUUCAAGGCUGGAAUACAAAGCUUCUCAAAGGGAUACCAUCACACCGGAACAAACAUUUGGGUUGCAGGGCCUCAAGCAAAAAAUGUUUGAACUUUUUGGAGUAACUCUUCUCUUUUAUGUCUCUAAUAUUAGUACAUUUCAUUUGAAUUGGCAGGAACAAUAUGUUUGGUGAAUAGAACUGAAUGUAACACAAGGACUGGGUAACAUUCUGGUCAGAUAAGCAUUUGAAAUAAUCCCAAAUGGGGGAAGAUACUUGCAUCCAACUUGCAAAUUGCAUGCAUGCAUGAAAAAUAUUAUCAUAUUAGCUGUGUCCAAAGAGGCCAAAUGCCACAUUUGGAUGCUCUUGAGGUAUACUGUAACAGAAUGAUGACUUGUGGUCCAAAUACCUUACAUCAGAUGAAGCUGAAAGUUCA